ACAGUCCAAAACAACUGCUUGGAGGCAUCAGUAUGGAAGGUUGUUUAAUUCUUCACCUCUGCAAAGUGAGGACAGAAGAGUCAUGAUUGAGGUUCACAGAUGAAUGGAAAAAUGCUCCAGUGCAGUGUGGUCCCGCGAGGAAUUUCAUUAAUACAGCUGGGAGAAGGCAGUGGAUUGCUGUGCUGGCACUGGAGUGACUCCUCCAGGCAGAAGGGUCCCUCCUGGCAGGGGAAGGGAUUUCUGGAGCCAGGAAUGCACCAGGGUCAGUGUGCUGCAGAACUGUACCUUCCAAUAUGCGGAAUUAUGACUUCCCUACCUGAGUCUAAGCUAGACUCAGGUGUCCCAGGCUCUCCAUUAGCUAUUCUGCCUCCUAGAUUCUCACAGCAUUCAUUAAAAUAUUAUUGCAUGCAAGCCAGCAUUGCCCUUAAUAAAAACAAAUAAAGAGACGCUGAGGUUUUUCCCUGUUUUAUAAACAAAUCCUCCUUGUAAUCAUUCUGAAUACUAGUCUCCUCCACAAUUUACUAUGGUAUGGUUAGAUGUCACCCAUUAAAAUCUAUUCAAAUACAACAUGCACAGUAAAUUGAGAAUAAAGAAACAUCAGAAGAGAUGCAAAACCUGGUUUUAUU